GUCAUCGUUCACUUGAUAACUCUUUUUAAAAUGAAAUAAAAGCGUUUUAAGAUACAUGAUAUGAAUUGAUAUUAAUAUUCGUUAAGUGGGAUUGUCGGUGGACGUUCAUUGUUGAACAGUUGUGCUGGAAUUACGAAAAUAUAUCGAUAUCGUUGAGAGUUCAUUCAUUAGGGGCCUGCUCUCAAUUUUCCUUACAACGCCUCUAGCACUGGGCAAUUGCCACCAUCUUGAAAAGCAGUGCCGCGGAUGGCUAUCGCAUCGCCACUACGCAUGAGAACACGAUGGCUGCCCUGCGCUGCAUUGAUAGUUUGUAAUAAAUUCACAUAAAAACACACCAGAAGAUCUCCGAUUUUAUUUACAAAGAUCAUAUUUUGUUAUUUAUUGAUAAAACUAGCCAUUUCACCACAGCAGGUGACACAUAUUAGGCCUGAAUAAGACUUUAGAAUUUGAAGUGGUGGUGACGAUGCCGAUAUCCAAGAUGGCGGAAUUAUACCAGUGGUCAAAUCUCAUCUAUUUUGGGUAAUUGCAUCAUUAUUUCUUUUUGUGAUUGGUGAUUUGUAAAAUUGAGAAUGAUUGAAAAAUCAGUAUUUUUUCACCCAAAGGCAUGAGGGAACAUUUGAUAAGUUUAUUGUGAUUUAAUUGGUAAUUUGGUCGACAUUUUGACAAUUAUAUUUAGCAAUAUUUCGAUAAAUGCGGACCUGCUUCUUCCUCUUUUCGUAGUGACGGUGUUUUGAUAACUCAGUUAGACUUCGAGAUCUACAUUUUCGACAAAGGCCUGGUGUAAUAUUACGUACUUGAUGAAGGUUUAAUGACACGAAUGAGUACAAGUACAUUACAUUUUUCGACGAAGGCCUUCUGUAAUUUCAUACGCUUCUUACGCAACAUUCAAUAGAUUUAUUUACUGUAUUAUCAUUUCGACCAAGGCGAAUUCGACACUUCAAUUACACAAGCACAAUCAAACUUAGUCAUUCCAGUCAGUUACUGAAGCACAGCGAAAACUGUCUGAAUUAGUGCUGCUGAUGGCAUGUAAUUACUCUACUACCACUACCAGUGACAGUCAAUGUCCAUAUAUUUUCAAGUGUGCGAAAUUAGUACUCGUCUACUUCUUAGUGUUAUUUGAAUGCAAUGUAUGUUAUAAAAAUAUUUUUUCAACACUAUAUCAACAUUCUCAUUCCUGUCAGUUUCUGAAAAUCAGCUAAAGCAAUCGCUACCAAUGCAGCUGAUAACAGCAAUUCUUUUUGUUCCCAAUGCCCAUCCAUGACAAUAUAUUUCACGCAUGUGACAAUCAUGGUAUCAUCCUGUUUUUUGUGUUCUAUUCAUGCAAUAAAUAAAUUCAGUAUUUUCAAAUCAUUGGUGCUACAAAACUAUUCUCAUUAUAGAUUAUUCAUAUUUUAUAAAAUGCUGUCAUGUGAAAUUUUGUGUCCUAUAAAUCAUUAUGAAGUCGGCAUUUUAUAUACAACUUUUGUACUCCUAAAUAAACAUACAAAUCUUGUUUUAUGUAAACUUUGUAUAUGUGACCCGUCACAGCAAAACCAGGCGCAUGUCGCUCUGAGCUUGGCAGGUUGAGACGGACUGUUUGUUCAUUUAUCUAUUGUCUGCCUUUUGUAAAAUAUGAGCACAUCAAUUUCUUCCAUUAUCUCCUGGUGUCAUUUAGGCUCAUCUUCUGUGCGACAUGUACCUGGUUUUGCUGUGACGGGUCACAUAUUCUAUAGAUAUACAACACUCUAAUGUCACAAUGCCUCUCUCACUCGCUUUUAUAGAGCAAGAUGUAUGAAUAAACAUGACACACCAACUAUGUACAAAAUUGCUAACAAACUGCACCAUUUGUCAGUACACCACAUGAAAUACAGAGAUAUGUCUUAAUUCUAAUCUUUCAUUAGCGACACCAUUCCUUACCCGAGUGCCUCCUUCAUUCAUACAUCUUGUACUUUAACUCGAGAUACCCAUCUUUGAAUAUUUUUAGUAUACCAAGUACUACAAUGUCAAUGUAUUGAAGUCAUGUUCUUGUAGUGUUAUUGGCUUUCUAUUAUCUUGUCAAAAUACCACUUGGUUCUCGCAAAAUCUCAAUAAAAACAAAUGCUAUUGCAUGUAUUGCAUAUUCUAACAGCUAUCCACUGUAUCGAUUUAUCCAUCAUCUGUACUAUUUGUCACAAAAAUGUUAUAUUAUGUAAAUCAUAUUUCAUUACAUAAUGCACACUGCCAAUUACUGCUGAACCAUUCAUAUGUCAUUUAAAUAAAUAAUUUUCAACUUUUUAAAACCGUCUUAUAGUACUGUUCUUGUCACUUAGCUGAACCUAUUGCUCUAUAGCAUGAAAUUUCCAGAAAUGC